UUUGUUUGUUUACCAAGUGACGUGUCCUUAGGCGACCUAUCAGCCGUGAGCUUCGGGGAAGUCAACAACCAAUCGCGUUCCUGUCCACUCGACUCAGACGUGAGUUAUGAUGCAUUAAAAGUCCCGCAAAUUGUCGUAAAACGAGAGUGAAGUUUAGGAGGAGUUAUUCCUGUUGGGCGUUUUGUGGUUGUUGACGGUGUUUCCUGGCCGUCAGCUAUUGUGUGACAACGAAACCGAAAGCCGAUCACUGUGGAGCGGUCACACUGAGCAGCUGAGCACCGUUAAGCUCCCUUUAACUCCCGCAAAUGUGCCCCCCGGACAAAAGCGUCCUGCUGUUCUUCUCUCUUCUGCUGGUCCACGGCGUCCAAGGUUUGGAAGCAUGGGCGGAAGAAUGUGUCGACAUGAGCAACACCACGUGGCGACAGUACCGCCAGCUGAGACAGCAGAGGACGCAGCCUCAGGUUCGCUACCUGCUUAUGACCCGAGAGCGCCCGGGGUGCGCUCUCGUCUUCCAGAAGGCGGCGGGGACCACCUUCAACGCCACGCGGCCCACUAAGGUCAUUGUACACGGCUACAGGGCAUUGGGCAGCAAGCCCGGCUGGGUUUUAGAUCUGGCCCAAGCGUUGCUGAAAGCGGAGGACGCCAACGUGUUGAUGGCCGAUUGGGUUUACCGCGCCUCAUUCGCAUACAACCUGGUGGUGGACGGCUACAAGGAAGUGGCAUUGCACAUAUCCAGCCUCAUCAGCCGCCUGCAGAAAGAGGGGUGUAAGCUGGAGUCAUUCCACUUCAUCGGCGUUAGUUUAGGGGCACAUGUGGCCGGAUUUGUGGGAACGCUUUUCGAGGGAAGGAUUGGAAGAAUCACAGCUUUGGACCCUGCUGGUCCCAUGUUUAAGGGUGCAGACACCUUUGAUCGUCUGGACCCUUCCGACGCACAGUUUGUCGAUGCCAUUCACACCGACUCGGACUACUUUGGCAUCUCCAUCCCGGUUGGCCACGUGGACUUCUUCCUAAACGGAGGAAACGACCAGACGGGAUGCGCGCGUUCCCGAUUCUCCUCUGUGUAUGGCUACGUGAUUUGCGACCACAUGAGGGCGCUGCAUGUUUAUAUGAGUGCUUUGAACUCAUCAUGCCGCCUGAGCGGUGUGCCGUGUGACAGCUACCAAAACUUCCUGCAGGGACGCUGCCGUCACUGUGACGCUUUUAAUGGAAAAUGUCCGACCAUUGGUUUGUCAGAAAAGUGCGGCAUCACUUCUUCCACGCUACCGACAGAGCAAAAGUUGUUUCUCCUGACAACUUCGCAGCCACCUUUCUGUGCUCAUCACAUCAUGCUGGUGUUGGAAACGUCGGCCCUCACUAAAAGUGCCGAAGUGGAAGUGACGCUGACCACAGGAGAUCAGGAGACACAACGCAGACUGCGGCUGUGGCCGUACAGACACUACGGUGUACACAACGGUGUUGGCUCACCCAGUGGCGCUAUGUGAGAUCCACUCCAUUACCUUGAAAAACACAGGCGCUCGCUUCUACCGCCAGAGCGAAAUCCACGUCAAGUCCGUCUGUCUGUCCCAGAUCGCUUCGCCCAUGCGCGAGGCGCCAGUCUGCAUAAACAACUUCAACGUCCGGAGAGGAUCUCUCUGGUCACAUGACUUAGUGCUGGUAUGUGGCCUCUUCUGACGCCACCUGUCGUGACCAAUUGAGGAAAAAUGAGGACAGCGAGAAGAUGCAGCGUUGCAGAAAAGCAGAUGCUGUUGUGGACGCUAACUUAGCAUGUGUGUUUAUUGUUGUCAUUUCACACAAAUGUACACACAUUGAUGUAACAUUGGCUAAAAAAAAAUAGCAGCUAACCAUAGCUUAUACAUGAAGCGUCCCAGGAAUUAGACAGUCCCACAAUUUUCACUACACACGGAAGCUUGGAGAAAUGUUGGCCCCGUUGUCAUAAAUAAACUUUAAUUGGACAAUUUCACAUUAUAUUGAUGCGCUAUACAAGUAUAACACCAUUACCAUUACCAAAUGAUCAAUAGUUGUAACACGCUAAUGGCUAACUACAGUAACAUAUUUUUAGAUUAUUUACAGAUGAAGCACUCAAUUUCUAUCAUGUUUUUGGACAAAUAAUUCUAAAUUAGCACAAGUGAUUUGUGAAACGAAAUAAAAAAAGAAAACUGUGGUCCAAAUAACUGAAAGUCUUCAAAUAAAUGAAAAAAAAUAAGGCC